rnacentral:tmRNA from 1 species
GGGGAUGUAUAGCUUUUGAUGAAAAAACCUUUUAAAAAUAGCAAAUCGAGUAUAAUUGUCUCGUUAAAAACAAUUAAAAAAGUUAAGUGCAAAAUCAUUUGUACAAAAAACUAAAUCUGCGUUAGCGCGAGCUUUCACAGUUUCUAGUUUUUCUCCAGUAGUUGCUUAGCAACAACUGGCAUCGGCUCGCUUGACUUCUGCUUGAGCGAAUCCCGGUGUUAUAAAUGCAGAAUUGAUAAUAUAUUCUUCCCAAAAUAUAUUAUCUAAACAAAGCAGGGAUAAGAUUAUGUUACAAUUUGUUUAUUUAUAAAACAUAAUUGAAAUAUAAAAUAAACUAAAUUUGUAUAACUAUUUUUUAAAAAUUUUUCAGACAGGGGUGCGAACCCCCUCAUCUCCACCA